AUCUGUGAUGCUGAUUCUUUGUGUUAUUCUGAAGUGGCUCUUUAAAUGUGAUUUUAAUUGUUUUCAGUAAUUUUAUAACAAAACACAUUGGAUUACAUUUCAUGCAGUUUUCAGUGUUUAUGUGCACUUUUACAAUGUGGUUCAAUUGUGAUGUAAGUUGUGCUUCCUUAUUGGUCGAAAUCCAAUAACCUUCAGUGUCUGAGGCUGACCAGAGAGAGAGAGAGAGAGAGACGUUGCUUUGGGGGGGGCUCUUAUCUCAGGACUGCAGGCACUUUUUUUACUCUUAUUAACAUCACCAUAUUGUACAAGUACAGCCUCCUGUCCAGCAGAGAGCGGAAAACUCUCUCUCUCUGUGUCUCUCUGUGUCUCUCGUUCGAUACUAGUUCAGCUCAACUGGUGUCCAACUCGAGCAGCAUGUCUGUUGGUGAUGGGGGCUGAUGGAGACAUGGGCACACGUGCAUCACUUUCUUCAUCAGCGCCUGUUCCAGGUCUCUGUCAUUCCUUCGCUGAGGUCAUCACUCUGUGUCUCUGAUCUUCACUGAACGCUGCAGAAACUUGUGGAGGACAGUGCUCAGGAACAGGAAGGAAGCGAGGGUGCAAUCUCUUCACAGACGGAGUGAAUGAAGACGACAGAGAAAGUGACCACAAACACGGACCUAACAGAAAUCUGCAGAGCUCUGCAUGAGGAGGGAUGAGAAGAAGCUGAGGACGUCAGGAGUCUCAGGUCAUGAUGGAGAAGAACGAGCCGCCCAUCUCUCCGUCUGUCCUGCAGCCCGUCAGUCCAGCUCGCUCGAGUUCCCCCGAUGCUAACGUGGCUCGAGAUGCAGUUGAACCCGAGACUGACCCCCGCCGGAGCCCCCCCGCCGCCUCCUCGCCGUCCCUCCCGCCCAGCAUCCCGGUCAUCAGCCUGGCUCACAGCAAACCGCCGCUGCCUCGGCUCUCCAUGCUGCGCCUGUCCCUGCUGCCUCCGGCCCUCCUGCAGACGCACCCCUUCAUCAGCAGCUCUGUCCUCGGACCGUCGGGAAGCUUUGGGAUCUUCGGGAACGCUCGUAUGAAGAGACGCCCGUCCACACACUUCGAACUGGAGCUCAGUGACGGUGCGUCCUUCAAUCUGUGGCUGUUUUGUGAAAAACUAAUUGUGAGGAGACACUAGGGUUGUCAAAAGUACUGACUUCGGUACCAGUUGGUACUGAAAUGUAUAAAAAUGUGAUGAUAUCAGCAUUUCCCACAAGCAUUUUAAUGUCCAUUUCAAAAGUAUAAAUUUGCACAUUACUGUAUGUGGGAUUAUUGAUUGAAAGUGACUGGAUUCACAGUUACACUUUUAUUAGUGUUCUGAAAAAAAAAAAAAAACCUUUACAACUUCAUGAUUGUGUGAAAUAUGGGCACAAAGGUGAAAAGUUUAUGACAACUAGAUCAACAGUUUUGCAUUUAAUGAUGAACUUAUGACUAGAUGUGUUGAGGGGUUAGACUAUAGCACAGAGAAGGAACUAUAUAAUACAUGACAUUAGCACCUGAUAAUGUAGGAAACCGCAGAUUAAUGUACAUAAUCGACUUGAAUGCACCAAAGCAAUCGCAACUUGUUCAAAAGAAUGAGAAACUGCUUUUAUGAUGUGCACAAGAUGAUGUGGAGAUGAACGUAGUUUAGAGAAUUUCAUUUCUGAUCUGAGAAACUGAGAAACACUGUAAGAAUCCGGGAAACGCUGCUGUCGUCACAUUUUUACAAUUUCAGUAGUCCAGAGAGUUGUUUAGAGUUGUUCAGUUUUCACACUCUUCUUCAUCCUCAGUUCAGCAUCAUCGUGAAUGCUCAGCUCUGUGGUUUUCCUUCAGGUCCUCCUCAGAAGUUGGCUCGGAGUGUCUUCACGAACAGCCGCGAGCGCUGGCGGCAGCAGAACGUGAACGGAGCUUUCUCCGAGCUCCGCACACUCAUCCCGACCCACCCUCCUGACAAGAAGCUCAGCAAGAACGAGAUCCUGCGCCUGGCCAUGAAGUACAUCAGCUUCCUGGUGCAGCUGCUGAAGGACCAGAGCAGCGGUCAGUGUGAGAACAGAGGCUCCACGGCCUCCUCGGGCUCCAGCUGUUACGGUGACACGGACAGCGAGGACAGCACGGGGACCUGCGGCAUCCAGACCAAACACAGCGGAGACAUCACGGAGGAGGUCCAGGAACAGAUACUGAUGGUCACUGCGAGCAGCUACCAGCGCUGACCACCUCAAACUCACACGCUAGAGAAACCUUCAACCAGGGUUGCCAGGUUUUCACAACAAAACCCACCCAAUUGCUACUCAAGACUAGCCCAAUCGUGUUUCGGGGGUAAAAUGCGUGGUUUAUUGCGGGGCUCCCCUGGUGAAAUUAGCAUUUUAGCGGCUAAAUAUCACGUUAUUGUGGUCGCUUAAACCUGCGGAUAUGAACCCCCCUGUGGAAACAGCGUUAGAGUAGCCCAGUUUUGCAGGAAAACCACAGACUUGGCAACACUGUGUUCAACCCUCGACGCAUAGAAACUGUGGAGAGAUGGCUGAAACUCAUGUUUGGUGUCUCGUGAUCCUUCAUGUCUGCCACUUCUCCAUUUCAUUUCCUCACUGCCAAAAAAGGCUUAUCUUAGUAUUUCUAUCUUGUUUCUAGUCAAAAUAUCUAAAAAUGCUUAAAUCAGGAUGCAUUUACUAGAUGAAUUAAGUGCAUUAUUUUGCUUAUGUCACUGGCAGAUAAUUUUACUCAUUUGAAGCAAAAAUGCAUUUAAUUGAGUUUUUUUCUCCUGGAAACAAGGCUAAAUAUUUUGCAUCAUUUUCCUUAUCUAGUAAAUGCAUCUUGAUUUAAGCAUUUUUAGAUAUUUUGACUAGAAACAAGACAGAAAUACUAAGAUAAGCCUGUUUUUGCAGUGAUCUCACUGAUGUUUGAAGGAGCUGUGUGUGAUCGUGGGAACCUCAAACUUCACAUCUGUGAGGGUCAGACUGGAUUAUAAUAACGUGUUGAUCUUUUGAAAGCAUCAGGAUGAACAGAGAGCGGCUGAGGAUGCGCUGGUUCAGUGUUCACACAUCAUCUUCUGUCUUCUGUCCCGUGCACGUCUUCAGGAGGAUCAUACAUGAUCUUUGUUAGCUCCGUCUGAGCUAGUAAAUGUUUGGUGAUGUGAAGCUGUAAUUAUGUGGCUUGUGUUCAACUGAUUUUGGUCUGAAUAAAUUAAACAUGAUAAUUUGAGAGUUUUCUCUC
ensembl:lncRNA